GCCUUCAUUGGCUCAGUUGGUAAUGUUCCUGCAGCACAGCUGCCCCUUGUGGAGUGGUUAAGUCGAGGGUUCGAAUCCCUCAGAAGGCA